rnacentral:sRNA from 1 species
UAGAUUUGCAUUAAGGAAUGCAAGCUGC